rnacentral:rRNA from 1 species
GAUGAACGCUAGCGGCAGGCCUAAUACAUGCAAGUCGAGGGGCAGCGCGGUAGCAAUACUGGCGGCGACCGGCGCACGGGUGCGUAACACGUAUGCAACCUACCUUCAACUGGAGGAUAGCCCGGGGAAACUCGGAUUAAUACUCCAUAACACAGGGAUCCCGCAUGGGAAUAUUGUUAAAGCUACGGCGGUUGAAGAUGGGCAUGCGUUCGAUUAGCUAGUUGGUGUAGGUAACGGCUCACCAAGGCUACGAUCGAUAGGGGGUCUGAGAGGAUGAUCCCCCACACUGGUACUGAGAUACGGACCAGACUCCUACGGGAGGCAGCAGUAGGGAAUAUUGGUCAAUGGGCGCAAGCCUGAACCAGCCAUGCCGCGUGCAGGAAGAAGGCCCUCUGGGUUGUAAACUGCUUUUGAUAGGGAACAAAUGCCACUUGCGAGUGGAGCUGAGUGUACCUAUAGAAUAAGCACCGGCUAACUCCGUGCCAGCAGCCGC